GACGAACGCUGGCGGCGUGCUUAACACAUGCAAGUCGAGCGGUAAGGCCCUUUCGGGGGUACGACGAGCGGCGAACGGGUGAGUAACACGUGGGUGACCUGCCCUCCAGCUCUGGGAGUAAGCCUGGGAAACUGGGUCUAAUACUGGAUAUGACUCCACGGUGCAUGUCGUGGGGUGGAAAGCCUUGUGCGGCUGAGGAUGGGCCCGCGGCCUAUCAGCUUGUUGGUGGGGUGAGGCCUACCAAGGCGACGACGGGUAGCCGGCCUGAGAGGGCGACCGGCCACACUGGGACUGAGACACGGCCCAGACUCCUACGGGAGGCAGCAGUGGGGAAUCUUGCGCAAUGGGCGAAAGCCUGACGCAGCGACGCCGCGUGAGGGAUGACGGCCUCGGUUGUAA
rnacentral:rRNA from 1 species